CCAUUCUUUAGCAGUGUGUACAUGAAUGUGUCCUGGGCCACGUUGAAGGACCGCCUACUCAACUGACAUCCCGCUGGGAUCCGAGGGGUCUCACUGUGCUCCUCAUGUGAAUGGACAGGCAGAUGCGAGUGCUUGUCUGCCCCGCAGCAUGGAAAUGGCCUCGGUGCUAUAUUGUAUCCUGUCGGUACAAAUGUAUUUUAUUAAAUUAUAUAUUAUCUAUAGGCUACAUAUCUACAGACUAUCAGACUAGGCACAAGAAGU